rnacentral:rRNA from 1 species
GUGAGUAGUUCAGAGUUUGAUCCUGGCUCAGGACGAACGCUGGCGGCGUGCCUAACACAUGCAAGUCGAGCGGAGACAUUGAGUAGCUUGCUACGAGAUGUUUUAGCGGCGGACGGGUGAGUAACGCGUGAGCAACCUUUCUCUCAGUGGGGAAUAAUACAGGGAAACUUGUACUAAUACCGCAUGAGACCACAGAGUCGCAUGGCUUCGGGGUCAAAGAUUUAUCGCUGAGAGGUGGGCUCGCGUCUGAUUAGAUAGUUGGUGAGGUAACGGCUCACCAAGUCGACGAUCAGUAGCCGACCUGAGAGGGUGAUCGGCCACAUUGGGACUGAGACACGGCCCAA